rnacentral:rRNA from 1 species
CCUACGGGUGACAGCAGUGGGGAAUAUUGGGCAAUGGGCGCAAGCCUGACCCAGCAACGCCGCGUGAAGGAAGAAGGCUUUCGGGUUGUAAACUUCUUUUAUUGAGGACGAAACAAAUGACGGUACUCAAUGAAUAAGCCACGGCUAACUACGUGCCAGCAGCCGCGGUAAUACGUAGGUGGCAAGCGUUAUCCGGAUUUACUGGGUGUAAAGGGCGUGUAGGCGGGACUGCAAGUCAGAUGUGAAACCCAUGGGCUCAACCCAUGGCCUGCAUUUGAAACUGUAGUUCUUGAGUGAUGGAGAGGAUAGUGGAAUUCCAGGUGUAGGAGUGAAAUCCGUAGAUAUCUGGAGGAACAUCAGUGGCGAAGGCGACUAUCUGGCACAUAACUGACGCUGAGGAGCGAAAGCGUGGGUAGCAAACAGGAUUAGAUACCCGAGUAGUC